ensembl:sense_intronic Gm29540 predicted gene 29540
GAGUGUGGAUGGGGUGGCUGGAGGAGAAACCAACAGAGACAUUAACAGGGAGCCUUUUAACUCAAGUUAAACUCCUGCCUACACUUAAGGAAAAAAGGGGCAGAUAAUUCCAGGCGCAUCUUUCUUUCUGUCCACCUUCUGCAAUCUCAAAUGCCAUCUGAGGAACUGUCCUCUUUUCUACUUCCCUCACUGUCCGUGAUCUUCCUUCUCUGAGAAAAUAUUCUCAAAAGCAUGGACUAGAAGCCUGUGCUGACUUCUGAUAACUCCAGCUCUUGGGGCUAUGAGGGCAGAGCCCAAAUUCCUACAGAGAAAAUACCCGCCUUCCAGUUUUACACCUG